rnacentral:lncRNA from 1 species
AGUGGCACGGUUUCGGACAUGCAAUCGCGCGUUCAUACCCAUAACACCCAUAGAGUACCCAGGGCGUUGUACCCAUAGAGACCCUGUGGUUCUAGUUCCUUCGGUGUUCCGUGGUUUCUGCUUCUAGUUUUACUCAGACUGGAAUGGCCUUCUUUAUGUGAUUGUUGAGAUCACUAACCCACACGCCUUCACUGACGCUGUAAGAGCUCACUACUCAUCUUGAAUGGUUUACAAAGAAGCUUCAAAUGUUGCCUUCUUCAUUUUUAGUGGACCAGUGAAGGAUUCUUGGCCCAUUCUCUACAGUGGCACACGCACAUUGUAUUGGCUUAAGUGCGAAGAAGCAUGGCAUAAAUGCACGUAAAGCAUCCAUAUAACCACUCUCGUACGUUCUGGUGAUCAUGACCAUGCAUCACUCAGCAUGUCAAAUUAACUUCCUAGUUCGACCCAACCAUUUAUAUUGAAAAGGCUUCAAGACUAAAAACAGCAGUUUACAGAAAGCAUACCGAUAUCCAGCAAUGUUUGCAUGUAGGCUGUACAAUACGAUUUCAGCCUGUAGGCUGCAAGGAAUGCAAGUUCUGUGGCAUAUACCUGCAGCUGGUUUCAGAUUUUCACCCGUGACUGCACAAUUAUGCAUGAACUUUAUUUCUGGUUCCUCUAUGUCACAGUACCUAAAGAUUUCCUAAAGUGAGGGCUCAGUUCCUUGCACAUCCUUUUUUAGCGCAUAGCUUCGUUUCCAUUCAUUGCAGUUUGACUCAGGUAUGUCAUAGCGAACUGCAUUAAUUCCCGCAUUCUAGUUCUUUUAUGCAUUGAGCUUUUUGAGUCAGGUAGCAGCUACAAAAUUGCACCAGAAGGCCUUAUUAUUAGGGAUGGGCGAAUAGUAAACUUGAAGUUUGAAGCGAAUCCGAAGCGAAUCCAAAGCGAAUAGUGAUUUGGUCGAAUAAUUUCGAAUCGAAUGGUUCGAAUAGUAUUUACCACAUAUUAUUAAGAAAAAUGAGCAUUUUCGUCAUGAUCCUUGCAGAAUGUUUUAAUGAAUUGGAACUAGGUAUGAGUAAAUGUAACUUUUUUGGUUUUGAAAUGAAGUGGAACAAACCUUGAAUGGUAUCAAAAUUUCAAUAGCAGUAGGGUGCGAGUUAUAAGUGGUACAAUACGUUACAAGUUGAAAAUACUAUACUUAGCGCAUAUAAGCCCAUAUAACACGCUUUUAAACUUUAAAAAUAUGUACACUUAACCUUGAAGUGUGGCUUCGCGGCAGUGCAGAUUUCCCCUGGCAGGGUAGUUUCACGGUACAACAACCCGACGCUGCAGUGAAACCACCUUUACAGGAGGUUAUGUGCGGUCAAACAUACAUA